CUUACACACUAUCUCAAGCUAAAUUAGAAAAACUUCUAGUAAUUCCAAAAAGGGAAUAGAUGUCCCUUUCAAGAAGGGGGGCGAUUCCUCCAUGGAGGUCUUUAAGGAGAAGCUAGAUGACCACUUGUCAGGUUGAUCACUUCUGUAAUGAGGCCACCCCACUGGAUUCUAUUGAAAUAUCCACGGGAGAUUUUCUAACAAAAGGUUUCCAGUAAAACCCCUGGCAUUUCAUAAGGAAACACUAGAAUGACAACUGUGCAAAGAAUAUUGUGUGGUACCAGGAGCAUAAAGUUAAUGACAUUUUCACCUUUCAAGAGGGAAUGGAUAUUCCAGGAAAUAAGAGUCAUACACAGAAGCUUUCCUCACCAGUACCUCAUCCGCAGUCAUGGUGGUAUCUGGAAUGGAUUACCAAAGCAGAAGAAUCUUUUUUCUCCCCCUCUAUUAUCAUUUUCUUUUUUGUCUCAUUUAUUCCUAC